GAUUAAAACGAGAAUAUAUUUUUAUACAAAAUUUAUUAUAAAUUUUGUGGUUUCCAAGUUGAAAAUGCUACAGAUUUAUGUGUAUUACAAAAAAAUAAUGGAAAGUUUUCCACGGAAUUUCGUCGUCUUUGUGUUUGCAUAGUUUUAAUUGUCCCCGUUUUUGGAACGGCAACUGCAAACUGAAUCGAUUCAAAUCCUGUCGAAUAUUCGUAUUAAAAUUUGAAAUCGGUACACACGGCAAGAAAAAUAAAAUUACCAAUUAGAUAUGGCAGUUAAUUCGACGACAAAAAUUACAGUUAAAAAUACGUGUAUGUAAUAAACAACUAACUAUAAAUAACGUAUGGGAUGCAAACGACUAUAUUAGUUACUUCUAAAAAUAUUCCGAGUUUUUAACAGAAUGUUAUUCAAAUAAACAUAUUAAGGCAGUGUUAUGAAUGAACGCCAUGGUAGUAGAAAAAACAUCGUCAAAAGGAUCGUAAACGUCCUCGAAAAUACACUUAAAUAUUAUUAUUUAUUCAAUACUAUCAGAAGUUUGCUACUUCCUGGUUCUCUGUAUUCGUUCCAAAAAGUUUGGCCUUCGUUACACGUAAUAAAUCAGAUUUUUUGCGUCGAUAUGUGACAAAGAAUGAAACAUGGAUCCAGUACGUCACUCUGGAAUCAAAACGGUCAUCAUCUGAGUAACCUGCGCCCGAUGAACCAGGUUCGUAGCGUCCAAAGACACAACAGGUUAUGGUUUCAGUAUUAUGGGAUUCGCGUGGAUUAUUAUUCAUUAACUAUCUCCAAAAGGGAUGAAAAUAUCAAUAACUAAUAAUACAUUGAUUAUUUGGAUCGUUUAAAUGUAAAAAUCAAAGAAAAAACCACCAAGACAAAGCACCGAUUCAAAAGUCGAUGACAACGAUGGUUCAAUUGAAGGAAUCACAAUUCGAAUCGCUUCCUUAGCUACUGUAUAGUCCAGAUCUGGUCUCCAGUAACUAUUGAUCUUAAAAAAGCUUGUAAUGAGGCAAAAGACAAAUCCUUCUACAAACACGAUAUUGAGAAGUUAUGGAAGCGUUGGAAUGAAGGUAUUGAUGUUGAAGAAAAUUAUAUCGAUGAAUAAAAUGGAUUUUUGGUAAAAAAAAAUUGUUUUUCUUAGUUAGUCACAUGAUUUAUUGUCAACGUCUAGGACUAUCUUUCAAUAAUUAUCAUGUUUUAUGUCAAUUUGUCGAAAUUCCUUUUUGUUCAAAAAUGUUUUUAUUAUAUUUUGUGUUGACUGUUUUCUAUGGAAUAAAUUCUAUAGAUUUU